AUGCUCUUAGGUUAUGUCAUACAUACGCAUUCAUAUAAACAUGAGGCUUGUUUCGCCUCAGGCCUUUGCCCUUUCCUGGGCCCUUGUCGAUGGUGGCUCAGCUCGCACACCUGUCCACGCCACUCCCUUCCUGACCUUAAGUCACCACUCGUCGCCACCUCUUCCGAGAGGCCUCCCAGACUACUCAGUGUAAACACCACCCAUCUCCCGUCCCUGGCCUUGCCACUGUCUAGCAUAAUGUUCUAUUUGUUUUCUGCUAUCCCUUUAUGUAAUGCUGGUGGGUUGUUUUUGUUUUUGUUUUUUUUGGUAAGUUUUCAUGUAAUUGAGAAAAAAUUUACAUACAGUAAAAUUCACCCCUUUUACUGUAGUUCUGCAAACUGUGACAAAUGCAUACAUACAUAUACUACCAGUGCUAUAAUCAAGAUCUAGAAAGUUCCAUCGCCCCCAAGUGUUGCCAUAUCUCUUUACAGCCAAACCUUCCCCAAGGCCAGCUCAGAGCUGUUCUCUGUAUCCGGAGUGUUGCUUUUUCCAGAAUGUCAUAGAAAUGGAAUCAUAUAUUAUGUAGCCUUUGCAGUCUGAUUGCUUUCACUUUCUGUAGCUCAAUUUAUUUGAGUCUCAUCUGUAUUACUGUACGUAUCAGGAGGUCUUUCCUUGUCCUUACUGAAAAUCACGGAUCAUAGUUUAUUCAUUCUCCACUUGCAAGGCAUUCUCGUUUCCAGUUUUGGUGAUUACAAAUAAAAUUGCCAUAAACAUUCAGAUAGAGUUUUCAUCUGUCUCGUAUAAAUACCUUGCAGUGAGAUGGCUGGGUCACGUGGUAAGCGGAUUUUUUUUAACCAUCUAAGGAAGUGUCAAACUAUUCUCUAAAUUGUCUGUACCAUUUUGUAUUCCUACCAACCAUGAAGGAGAAUUCUCAGUCCAGAUUUUCACCAGCACUUGGUAUUGUCAGAAUUUUUAUUUUAGCCAUUCGAAUAGGUGUAUGUAUCUAAUGGAACUAUGCCACGAUGGUUCUAGUUGUCAGUUCUCUGUUGACUAAUGAUGCUGAACAUCUUCUCAUGUGCUUCUUGGCGAUUAUAUCUUUUUUUUGAUGGAGGGUCCGCUCACAUCUUUGGCCCUUACCAAAAACGUUUUCCCAUUACUAGGCUUGAGAGUAUUUAGCAUACAUUCUUUUUAUAUUCGGCAUAUGAUUUUUUCCCCCAGACAAGUGAUUACCAAAUAUUUUCACCUAGUUUAUAACGCAUCUUUUCAUCGUCUUUCAAAGAUAGGUUUUUCAUUUUGAUAAAGGACAAUUUAUCAUUUUUCCCUUUUUAGGAACUGUGUCAUAUGUAAGACACAGCUGUCUAACCCAAGAUCACGAAGGUUUCCUUCUAUGUUUUAUUCUCCAAGUUUCAUAUUUUUUAGAUUUUAUGGUUCAGUCCAUGAUCUCUUUUGAGGUAAUUUUUUUUAGACGGUGUGAGAUAUGGGUUGAAGGCCACUAAUUUUAUUGCAUAUUGAUAUCCAAUCAUUCCUGUGCCACUUCUGGAAGACUGUCACCUCUCCGUGUAAUUGCUUUUGCAACUACGUCAAAAAUCACAUUGGUUGUAUAUGUGCGAGU
rnacentral:lncRNA from 1 species